rnacentral:rRNA from 1 species
AGUGAACCUGAAGGAUCAUUA